UGAAGAGCUUCAGCAAUAAGAUGAUACCUUGGAACCUCUUCCAAUCCACUAAAAGUUACCUUGCCAGAAACAGGUAUUCCCAUAAGAUGGGCAUACUCCUUAAACGUAGGCACAAGCUGAUAAUCAGGAAAAGUGAAGUAACGGUAGAAAGGGUCGUAGAACUGCACUAAUACACUCAAAAGUCCUUCAACCACAUCAGC
rnacentral:lncRNA from 1 species